rnacentral:rRNA from 1 species
ACCCAGACUCCUACGGGAGGCAGCAGUGGGGAAUAUUGCACAAUGGGGGAAACCCUGAUGCAGCAACGCCGCGUGAGUGAAGAAGUAUUUCGGUAUGUAAAGCUCUAUCAGCAGGGAAGAAGAUGACGGUACCUGAUUAAGAAGCCCCGGCUAACUACGUGCCAGCAGCCGCGGUAAUACGUAGGGGGCAAGCGUUAUCCGGAUUUACUGGGUGUAAAGGGAGCGUAGACGGCUGUGCAAGCCAGAUGUGAAAGCCCGGGGCUCAACCCCGGGACUGCAUUUGGAACUGUGUGGCUGGAGUGUCGGAGAGGCAGGCGGAAUUCCUAGUGUAGCGGUGAAAUGCGUAGAUAUUAGGAGGAACACCAGUGGCGAAGGCGGCCUGCUGGACGAUGACUGACGUUGAGGCGCGAAAGCGUGGGGAGCAAACAGGAUUAGAUACCCGUGUA